rnacentral:rRNA from 1 species
CUACGGGUGGCAGCAGUGGGGCAUAUUGGACAAUGGGCGAAAGCCUGAUCCAGCCAUGCCGCGUGUGUGCAGAAGGCCUUCGGGUUGUAAAGCACUUUCAGUGGGGAAGAAAGCCUUGGGGCUAAUACCCUCGAGGAAGGACAUCACCCACAGAAGAAGCACCGGCUAACUCCGUGCCAGCAGCCGCGGUAAUACGGAGGGUGCGAGCGUUAAUCGGAAUUACUGGGCGUAAAGCGCGCGUAGGCGGUCUGAUAAGCCGGUUGUGAAAGCCCCGGGCUCAACCUGGGAACGGCAUCCGGAACUGUCAGGCUAGAGUGCAGGAGAGGAAGGUAGAAUUCCCGGUGUAGCAGUGAAAUGCGUAGAGAUCGGGAGGAAUACCAGUGGCGAAGGCGGCCUUCUGGACUGACACUGACGCUGAGGUGCGAAAGCGUGGGUAGCAAACAGGAUUAGAUACCCGAGUAGUC